GAUGAACGCUGGCGGCGUGCCUAAUACAUGCAAGUCGAGCGAACAGACGAGGAUCUUGCUCCUCUGACGGUAUCGGCGGACGGGGGAGUAAAACGUGGAUAACCUACGUAUAAGACUGGGGGAACUCCGUGAAACCGGAGCUAAUACCGGGGAAUGUAUGGAAUCUCAUGGGUCAAGAGUGAAAGACGGGGUUGCUGUCGCUUAUAGAGGGAUCCGCGCCGCAUUAGCUAGUUGGUGAGGUAACGGCUUACCAAGGCAACGAUGCGUAGCCGACCUGAGAGGGUGAUCGGCCACACUGGAACUGAGACACGGCCCAGACUCCUACGGGAGGCAGCAGUAGGGAAUCUUCCGCAAUGGGCGCAAGCCUGACGGAGCAACGCCGCGUGAGUGAGGAAGGUCUUCGGAUCGUAAAACUCUGUUAUUAGGGAAGAACAAAUGUGUAAGUAACUAUGCACGUCUUGACGGUACCUAAUCAGAAAGCCACGGCUAACUACGUG
rnacentral:rRNA from 1 species